UUGACCCUGAAUCAAGGCCAGCAGUAUGUUGAAACUGUUGGUUUCAAGCAGGUGCCCAGAUAAAUAUCUUUCUAUGGUCUGUUUGCCACUUUAGAAAUUUUAAAAUGCUAUGCUAUGGUCAAUUUUUUAAAAAGAAACAUCA
ensembl:snoRNA small nucleolar RNA SNORA2/SNORA34 family